GACAGAGGUGCCGAGCGUUAGGCGGAAUCACUGGGCUUAAAGCGUGUGUAGGCGGAUGGGUAAGUACCUUGUGAAAUCCCACGGCUCAACCGUGGAACUGCUCGGUAUACUGCUCGUCUUGAGCCAACUAGGGGCGACCGGAACAAACGGUGGAGCGGUGAAAUGCGUAGAUAUCGGGAGGAACACCUGUGGCGAAAGCGGCUCACUGGACCACAACUGACGCUGAGGCGCGAAAGCUAGGGGAGCAAACAGG
rnacentral:rRNA from 1 species